GCCCAAGCUCUUUAUAUUCUACAGCAUGGCAUUAGAGCUUUUGGCCUUCUUCUCUGAGGCCAAACUGCAGAGCCACGCGCAACACAUCUUAUCCUUGAUAUCUUUGCUUUGUUCCUCACAAUUAUGGCAGGGAUGAGAGGUGCCAAAGUGCUCAACACCUUCGCUUUCAACAACAGACCACCAACAAACCAAAAGGCAUCUGUCCUUUAGAUCCUUUACAGCUCUACAAAGAGCUUUGCUUCUCCCUCUUUUGUGUUGCCAGAGUUCACGCUUACAUUUCCAUUAUGGUCACCUUUACGGAAGCCAUGCAAGCCCAAAGUUUGGGCUCGUGUGGAAGUUUCUGUAGUCAGAGUCACAGCACUGGAACAUCACAUGCAUUCCAAGGUAUUUUAGCAUUGGUUUUUUCAAGGAAAUAUAUAACUUGUAUC
rnacentral:lncRNA from 1 species